CUCAUUUUUUGGUCUUUUUGCUAAGAUCAAGUGUAAUAUUUGUUUUACCGGUUCAAUAUCUGGUAUAUGAACAAUAUAUUCGCUUUGACAUUAAAUUCAUUUAUUAUGAGUAUUUUAUGUGGAGGGUCCAUUAAGACUCUCAAGUGUCGCUUAGUCACC
rnacentral:snRNA from 1 species